GUCUGCGUCGCCAAAAGGAUAAGGCACGAGAUUUCUAAUCUCGCAUUUGUGGGUUCGAGUCCUACCGCAGAUA
rnacentral:tRNA from 1 species